GAAUCUCAUCAGGUUGAUAUCAUCAAUACUAUGAUAUCUUUUGAGAACUUUUGAUUUUAUAUCUUCAGAAAGUAUGUCUGGGAUUAUUCCAAAUUUGAGCCACCGGUGAUAGUAGAACCAGAUAGGAAAAAUUUCUCAAUAUCUGAAUUUUAUGAACCAUGAAUGCCUGUAUUCUAGAUUUUGGAUAUAAAGAAAAUUGAUCCAAGCUUUCUGAUAAUCCCAAUAACUGAAUUCUUUAUCUCCAUA
rnacentral:lncRNA from 1 species